rnacentral:lncRNA from 1 species
GGAUGGCGGCGGCGGCGGCUCCUCAGGCCACGGCCCUGACACCAGCGGGAGGAGCCGAGGAAGCGCCGUGAGAUGGGCCGACUACCAAGCCAGUCGGGAGGAGACUGCUUCAUAUUACAGUUGCCCAGAAGCAUUGCUGGAAACUCAGAUGUGGGUGCCCCAGUCAACAGUGGAAGGGGGUACAAGGAAAUCACAGAGAAGUCUGUUCUGAUGUCCCCAGAAGCAAGCCGACCCCCUCCGGGCUCUGGGAAUACUACAAAGCAAUAUGAAACCUGUUCAUGAGAGGAGUCAGGAAUGCCUUCCACCAAAGAAACGAGACCUCCCUGUGACCAGCGAGGAUAUGGGGAGGACCACCAGCUGCUCAACCAACCACACACCCUCCAGUGAUGCCUCUGAUUGGUGUCGGGGGGUUGUGGUGACUGGGCAGACCCAGGCAGGAGGAAGACAGAGUGUUGGUAGUGAUGGAGUGGAGGCCAUCACUGGUCUAACAGUGGACCAGUAUGGUAUGCUGUACAAGGUGGCCAUGCCACCAGCCACAUUUUCCCCAACUGGCCUCCAUCCUGUGGUGAACAUGAGCCCCCUGCCCUCUGCCUUUAAUGUAGCAUCAUCACUGAUUCAGCAUCCAGGAAUCCACUAUCCCCCCAUCCAUUAUGCUCAGCUUCCCCCCACUUCUCUGCAGUUUAUUGGAUCUCCUUACACUAUGCCCUAUGCCGUGCCACCCAAUUUUCUCCCUAGUCCUCUGCUCUCCCCUUCUGCCAACCUCACAACCUCUCAUGUUCCUCAUUUUGUGCCAUAUGCCUCACUCCUGGCAGAAGGGGCUACCCCUCCCCCCCAGACCACAUCUCCAGCCCACACUUUCAACAAAGUCCCUGCCGCCACUUCUCCACCAGGUCAGCUGCAGCAUCACUCAGGCACUCAGCCAGUGGACCUCACUCCAGGCCGAGUGCCCAUUUACUAUCAGAUGUCUCGGCUCCCCCCUGGGUAUACAACACAUGAAAUCCCUCCAACAGGAACAAGCCCAGAUUCUGCCCAUGCACUACAUGAGGUCCAGCCUGUUCCAGAUGUAACUACUCCCAACGGAGGGCAGAGACAAAUGGAACGGAACAUGGUAAGACGAGAAAGUGAAGCCACGGACCCCCCCAGCAACCAGGAUGACGGCCAGGGACUAGGAACAGUGGUGGAAUGUGUGGUGGACGGACAGUUGUUUUCAGGUUCUCAGACUCCACGGAUGGAGGUGGCGGUGCCGGCACACCGAGGGACUCCAGAUACUGACCUAGAGGUCCAGAGAGUGGUUGGAACAUUAGUGUCUCAGGACUAUCGAGUGAUGGCAACUCAGAGGAAAGAUGAGCCCAGCCCCCUUAAUCUGUCCCAUCAUGCCCCUGAUCAUCAGAGUGAGGUGAGAGGGCUGGCUAGGAACCCAGUAGAAAUGACAGAGAAGAGCCAGGCCCGGGGCCUCUACACCCAGUCUCCUCAAGAGCUGGCAAAACAUAGACCUUUACCCAAAGCAAUGGUUAUAGCCAAUGGCAAUUUGGUGCCCAUUGGUACUGAGCAGGGCCUGCUGUCCAUGGGGUCAGAAAUCCUAGUGACAUCAAGUCUGGAUAUGCAGGUUCGAGCCACUUUCCCAAACAAGGAGCCAACCCCACCACCUAGCACCUCUUCCCACUUGCCCUCUCACUUCAUGAAAGGUGCCAUUAUCCAGUUGGCCACAGGAGAGCUGAAGCGGGUUGAGGAUCUACAGACCCAAGACUUUGUGCGCAGCGCAGAGGUGAGCGGGGGACUGAAGAUUGACUCCAGCACCGUGGUAGACAUUCAGGAGAGCCAGUGGCCUGGCUUUGUCAUGCUGCAUUUUGUGGUCGGGGAGCAACAGAGCAAAGGACUGAGAUUUCUUCACAGUGGAAGCUGAUCAGGCGGUUCUAAAACUACCUGAAGGACAGGGAGUCUGCAGUGAGGUGGAAGUAAUGGGGUGAGUGUGUGGACCCUCAGCUUCCUCGACGCCCUGUGCUGCAUCGAGGAGAACGUGUAUUAUGUUGGGGAGAGGAUCAUAGCACAUCUGGAGCAUUAUCACAGGGCUGGUCCCCAGCAACCUUCCCAGUCACACAGAGUCCCCUGUAGCCAAACCAGCGUACAUCACAGGACAGCACCUUAAGGGGGUGGGGGGUGAGGUGGGGAUGAAGACGGGAUAGAGAGAGGAAGGAAGGGAACGCCAUCCAGGACUGAGAGAAGGCCGUACCUAGAGAGGACCGGGUGGAUCUGUUUUAGGUAGGAGCUUCCUGUAGAUAAAUUACCGAUCCCUCAACUAUAAUCCCCAUUAUGUAACGGCUGAAUUAACAUGUAACCAACUGCAUCGUAUCUAAAGCCUUAGAACUAGUCAGGUGCUCCCCCCACCCGAUACUGUUUCUUACCCUCUAAUCCUACCUGAUCUUUAACAAAGCAUUAAUAAUUCUAAGGAUAAUCUCUAUUUUGUUGUGCUUUUUUGUAACUGUUUUAAAUAAAUCAAUUUGUACUGUAUAUUUGUACCUUUUG